CCUUAUCAUUAUGCAAGUACUACUAGCUCGACAAAUUAAUACAGAAAAGAAAGUCAACUUUACAUACAAACAGGGGAAGUCGAAAAAGUGAAAGUCAUCUAGACUAUACGUGAUCUAAUAGAAAGUAAAAGAAACAAGGUCUUGUAGCGAGUUGUUGUGAUGGGUUGGCAUCCAGCAUCGGGGAAUGAGACUGUGACGUCAAGAAGACACGACGCUGCUGAGAGACGACCAUCCAACGAAAUUCGUCUUAGACAUCAAAGACGAAGAAAUGCUCAAGUAAACUUCCACUUAGACCCAAGRACUAAGGCAGCUUUAGAAAUAGCUCACAUGUUACAGCUWAUAGGAGAUCUUGUACAGAGAAGGGCUUCCACACAAAGUUUGGAAAAUUAGAAAAUUGAAUGAAUUUAUGGAAUUUUAAGUAACCUGCAGGGGUUAUAUACUGCAAAAGAAUGGUACUGUSAAGCAAGAACUGUUUUCUUUCAAAGAGACGAAAAGAAAGAAUUCUGAAGAAUCUACAUUGGCAGAAACAUGUUUACCAAGUUGUAAAGACAURCAUGGAUGAAUUGUAAAUAAGAAAUAUAAAAAAUAUCUAGUUGAUAUUUAGAAWGUAUUUUUGUAAAAUAUUGUUAAAAUGAAUUUCUCUUUUAUCCCMAAUCAAAUUGAUCCAAUAAUUUCUAAAGGAAUUCACAUAAAAUAAGUAGUUUAUCUAUAUUAUGUCCUUAUAUGGAAUGAGGAAUAAUAGAGACGGCAUUCUAGAAGCUGCGAGAUAUCCGGAAUAAUUGCAAUAAUUUGAAAAAAUUAUUUCAAUAAAUCAAAUUAUUUAUCCAUAACCUWAUAUGAAUUACAUGUAUUAUAUUUAAUGCUGGGGAUUUUACACAUAUACAUCUAAAUACACACAAAAAUUAUAUUUAUACAUUUACAAGUAAAACGACAAUUUUGACAACAUCUAAAAGACUUAGGAGAAUUUACUAUUCUAGUAACCAAAAGAGUUAAUCAUGUAGUCUUCAAGGAUAUUAAAAAUAUUAAAAUAAGCUGUAGAAAUUUUGUAGGAAUUUAGAGUGAUAAGUACUAUUCCUUACUUUCAAUGUAGAAAAUGAAAAUAAAAUAUUUUUUCAAACUUUG